AGGGUGAACGCUGGCGGCGUGCCUAACACAUGCAAGUCGAGCGGUGCAGUUUGAAGCUUCGGUGGAAAGCUGCAUAGCGGCGGACGGGUGAGGAAAACGUAGGAACGUGCCCCUUGGAGUUGGAUAGCCACGGGAAACUGUGGGUAAACCGACAUAGACUCGAGAGAGUAAAGGCCGAAAGGUGCCAAGGGAGCGGCCUGCGGCCCAUCAGGUAGUUGGUAGUGUAAAGGACUACCAAGCCGACGACGGGUAGCCGGUCUGAGAGGAUGGCCGGCCACAAGGGCACUGAGAGACGGGCCCUACUCCUACGGGAGGCAGCAGUGGGGGAUUUUGGACAAUGGGCGAAAGCCUGAUCCAGCGACGCCGCGUGGAGGAUGACGGCCUUCGGGUUGUAAACUCCUGUCAGAAGGGACGAAAUCCCGCAAGGGACUGACGGUACCUUCAGAGGAAGCCCCGGCUAACUACGUG
rnacentral:rRNA from 1 species